rnacentral:rRNA from 2 species
ACGCCGCGUGAGUGAAGAAGGCUUUCGGGUCGUAAAACUCUGUUGUUGGAGAAGAAUGGUCGGCAGAGUAACUGUUGUCGGCGUGACGGUAUCCAACCAGAAAGCCACGGCUAACUACGUGCCAGCAGCCGCGGUAAUACGUAGGUGGCAAGCGUUAUCCGGAUUUAUUGGGCGUAAAGCGAGCGCAGGCGGUUUUUUAAGUCUGAUGUGAAAGCCCUCGGCUUAACCGAGGAAGUGCAUCGGAAACUGGGAAACUUGAGUGCAGAAGAGGACAGUGGAACUCCAUGUGUAGCGGUGAAAUGCGUAGAUAUAUGGAAGAACACCAGUGGCGAAGGCGGCUGUCUGGUCUGUAACUGACGCUGAGGCUCGAAAGCAUGGGUAGCGAACAGGAUUAGAUACCCUGGUAGUCCAUGCCGUAAACGAUGAAUGCUAGGUGUUGGAGGGUUUCCGCCCUUCAGUGCCGCAGCUAACGCAUUAAGCAUUCCGCCUGGGGAGUACGACCGCAAGGUUGAAACUCAAAGGAAUUGACGGGGGCCCGCACAAGCGGUGGAGCAUGUGGUUUAAUUCGAAGCAACGCGAAGAACCUUACCAGGUCUUGACAUCUUUUGAUCACCUGAGAGAUCAGGUUUCCCCUUCGGG